rnacentral:rRNA from 1 species
GCAGUCGAACGUGAAAGGGGCUUCGGCCCUGAGUAAAGUGGCAAACGGGUGAGUAACGCGUGGGUGAUCUGCCUCUGAGUGGGGGAUAACCUUCCGAAAGGAGGGCUAAUACCGCAUGACAUCCUGUUCUUGGAUGAACGGUGAUCGAAGCUGGGGACCGCAAGGCCUGGCGCUUGGAGAGGAGCCCGCGUCCGAUUAGCUAGUUGGUGGGGUAAUGGCCUACCAAGGCGACGAUCGGUAGCCGGCCUGAGAGGGCGGACGGCCACACUGGGACUGAGACACGGCCCAGACUCCUACGGGAGGCAGCAGUGGGGAAUUGUUCGCAAUGGGCGCAAGCCUGACGACGCAACGCCGCGUGGGGGAUGAAGGUCUUCGGAUUGUAAACCCCUGUUGGGUGGGACGAACACUUUCGUGGUGAAUAUCCACGAGGGCUGACGGUACCACCUGAGGAAGCCCCGGCUAACUCUGUGCCAGCAGCCGCGGUAAUACAGAGGGGGCAAGCGUUGUUCGGAAUUACUGGGCGUAAAGGGCGCGUAGGCGGCCUGUUAAGUCGGACGUGAAAUCCCUCGGCUCAACCGGGGAACUGCGUCUGAUACUGGCGGGCUUGAAUUCGGGAGAGGGAUGUGGAAUUCCAGGUGUAGCGGUGAAAUGCGUAGAUAUCUGGAGGAACACCGGUGGCGAAGGCGGCAUCCUGGACCGACAUUGACGCUGAGGCGCGAAAGCCAGGGGAGCAAACGGGAUUAGAUACCCCGGUAGUCCUGGCCCUAAACGAUGAGUGCUUGGUGUGGCGGGUAUCGAUCCCUGCCGUGCCGAAGCUAACGCAUUAAGCACUCCGCCUGGGGAGUACGGUCGCAAGGCUGAAACUCA